UACAGAGGGUGCAAGCGUUAAUCGGAAUUACUGGGCGUAAAGGGCGCGUAGGUGGAUAAAUAAGUGAGAUGUGAAAUACCCGAGCUUAACUUGGGGAGGUCAUCUCAUACUGUUUGUCUAGAGUAUGGGAGAGGGAAGUGGAAUUUCUGGUGUAGCGGUGAAAUGCGUAGAUAUCAGAAGGAACAUCCGUGGCGAAGGCGACUUCCUGGCCCAAUACUGACACUGAGGCGCGAAAGCGUGGGUAGCGAACAGG
rnacentral:rRNA from 1 species